GUUAACUCUAUGAAGAGACGAGUAAAUUAAACCUUCAUUUCAAGAGAGAAAAUACCCUGGCUGUAAGUAUUUUUAAAUGAAAUUAAUUGAAGACUACCUCUGAGAGACUCUAAUCCAGUCCGUUUCAUCACGUUACGAUGAUUCUUAAGUGGCCUUUUUAGGCAAUUAAGGGUGGAACCGCGGGAAUGUAAUGCUCUCGUCCCUUUU
rnacentral:ncRNA from 1 species